UACGAAGGGGGCUAGCGUUGCUCGGAAUUACUGGGCGUAAAGCGCACGUAGGCGGCUUGGUAUGUCGGGUGUGAAAUCCCCGGGCUCAACCUGGGAACUGCAUCCGAAACUGCCUUGCUCGAGUAUGGGAGAGGGAAGUGGAAUUUCCGGUGUAGUGGUGAAAUGCGUAGAUAUCGGGAGGAACACCAGUGGCGAAGGCGACUACCUGGCCUGUUCUUGACGCUGAGGCGCGAAAGCUAGGGGAGCAAACGGG
rnacentral:rRNA from 1 species